UGUUGUCGGUGGCUGAGUUCAAAGAAGAAGGAGAAGAUUUGAUCCCUAGGCUUAGAAUAUUGAGAUCCAGAGAGAUCCGGGUUCGUAAGGUAACACAAGUCAUUGACUUCCGUUUGUGUCCUUCAAGGUCCACUCCUUCCCUCCCCUCAAGCGAAUAAAGAGCCGUAAUUCAGACUCAUUCUCCUCAUAAAUCUUUCUUUCUUCGCCACUCACAAAUUUUCAUAUCCAACAAAUUCCAUAACCUCUCAACAUAUUCCAUCCAGCUAGCUGCACAAACUGAUCCUCUUGUCUCUGGUUUUCUCUUCAAAUGUGAAAGACUUUGCCUAGAAAAAUGAUGAAUAUGUUCUUCCCUCGACUUCUUCCUCAUUCUCUGUUCUUUGUUGCUUGCUUUAUAACUUUUGCCUUUGGAGCUGCUCGAUUGCCAAACGAUGAAGUGCAAACUUUGAAAGCCAUAGCAAAAACACUGGGGAAGAACUAGAAGGGCUGGGAUUUCAGUGGAGACGCAGAUCCAUGCAGCGGCCAACUUCCAUGGACUAAUUCAAGCUCACCCAAAGGAUUUGAGAAUGCCAUCAACUGUAAUUGCUCCUCCACUGUCUGCCAUAUUACCGGAAUGUAAACCUCUCUCUCUGUUCGCUCCCUAAAUUCGUCAUGAGCCACGCGGGCAUGCCGGGAAUUUACUCAAACAUGAAAUUGGUGGGUGUGAGCGUGCCACUACUAGAUGCUGUUAGUAGAUGGGAUUUGAAUGAUUGUGGUUGUGCCUAAGUUUGACUUUAAACCAAGAGAUUGUGCCAUUGAGUGGGAGUAGCUCAAAUCAAUGUUCUUUCUUUGCCUUAAAGAUAAGGACUUUACUUAUAUGGAGAAAU